rnacentral:lncRNA from 1 species
UGUCUGUCUUGGGAAAGUACUUUGGGGCUUGCACAUGAAAACAACUGAUGUUAGACAGUAUAAGAUUGCAAAUCUUAAAUCUUCUAAUUCAAUGCUAUGAAGUGAAUUGAAUGUAUUCAUAAAAGAUUACAUGGUUGACUGAUUGUAAGUUGCUCAACAGUCAGUUACAAUUAUUUCAUACAUAUUAGGAUAUCAAACAUUAAACAAUUCAUACAGUAGUUUGAUUCCAAAAAGUGGUUAAACCAGGAUGAAGGACAUAUCAAAUUGGUAGAGGAAGCCACAAUGAACAGAGAGAAC